rnacentral:rRNA from 1 species
AAUGAACGCUGGCGGCCGGCCUAACACAUGCAAGUCGAACGGAUCCUUCGGGAUUAGUGGCGGACGGGUGAGUAACGCGUGGGAACAUACCCUUUGGUACGGAAUAGCCUCGGGAAACUGGGAGUAAUACCGUAUGUGGUCGAGAGACGAAAGAUUUAUCGCGAAAGGAUUGGCCCGCGUUGGAUUAGGUAGUUGGUGCGGCAAUCGCCUACCAAGCCGACGAUCCAUAGCUCGUGUGAGAGGACGAUCAUCCACACUGGGACUGAGACACGGUCCAGAUUCCUACGGGAUGCAGCAGUGGGGAAUCUUAGAUAUUGGGGGAAACCCUGAUCUAGCCAUUCCGGUUGAUCGAUGAAGGCCUUAGGGUUGUAAAGAUCUUUCAGGUGGGAAGAUAAUGACUGUACCACCAGAAGAAGCCCCGGCUAACUCCGUGCCAGCCGCCGCCGGAA